CCCCCCCCAUGUUUUAUCUUCCAGUGUGAACGUCAACGCAAAGCGCCUGGGAGGAGCCUGUGGAAGAAAGACACCAACCUGCAAGCCUGCGCAGCUGCAGCCACAGUCGCUGCUCUUAAAAAGCAGGUCCUAAUGCAACUGGUGUGUGGAUUGAUAAAUGUGUCAGCCUAACAUCGUUAAACCUGACCUGCAUAAUGAUUGUCAAAGAUGGGACUCUGAGUGAGGUUGUCAUGACAUGCUACUGUGACAACGGCUGCAACCCAAAUGAUAACGAAGUAGGAACCAGCUUUGCGUUUUCUGAUAGUGGUCCCUUUGCCUUCAAGAAUUUGCCCUGAGAUCUCAAUGCAUCACCCUGUAAUGAAAUGUGAAUACAUUGUGUGAUUGCUUGUUUUUCCCUGUAGAAAGGCUCUGUAAAUUAACAUUUUUAACAUGUAUAUUCAGUACAGUAACAGCUUAAUUAAAUGCAUCUAGUUAGUUGUAUUGCUGUUGCAUUAUUCUCUCAUGAUUGAAUAUCUUGUCAUUUAUAACACGCUUUGGGCCUGUUUGCAGACGUGCAAUAUUUUUCUGCAUAUUGUACUGUACAUUGCCACCCUAAGCAUAAAAUAUGUAUUUUUCUCUGCUGUGGUAAAAGAAAUGUGCAAUCCUUGAAAAAAAUAUUUAAUUGCAGUUUAAUUGUAAGAUUACUGCAGAAAUAAAAACUACUACCAGUUUAAGUAAACAUUCUAACCAAUAUUUUAAAGAUCAUUUUGUUAGCACUCAACAUUUUCGCCUUCACUUGUUCUGAAGAUAUUUUAGUUCUUUGCUUUGAUUUUGCUGCUGCUUCGUGUAACUAUAAUCACUUCAUGUGUUAUAGCUCAAACUCAAAUGAGACCAUGUGACCUCCAGCAAAGAUACCAGCAUGCAGAGUACCUUUAGAUUUGUAUGUGCAUAUCUGCAUAUGUAAGCAACAGCACAUGACAAGGCAUGUGGUGAGACUUAUCUUCCCCACGCCUGGGUGCGUUGAAAAAAAUUAUAAGCCUCUCGGGUGGAAUCAAUCAACAAAUACAGCUCUGCUUUCUGACCCACAAUACAGCCCUGUUAUACGCCACAGUUCAUUAAAAAAACUAAACUAAAAAAGUUCGAUACAUUUUUAAGUGAAAAAUAACCAUGAGACUGGUUUACUGUGGCGAGUAGUGGAGUGGUAUUUUAAGACUGGUUUACCAAUCCUCCGUGCCGAGUAGUGGAGUGGUAUUUUGAGACUGAUUUACCAGUAUUCUUUGCCGAGUAGUGGAGUGGUAUUUUGUUCUGCUGUGUUGGUUAGGUAAGGAUUGGCAAGAUAGUUCAUUUUGAAGCUUAAUAAAAAUAUGAAUCUGUGUGGUCUUUAUAAAUUUUGAUUACUUCAGACAGUAUACAUUUCUCAAUUGUUUGAGGUUAAUCCACACCCUGAAUGGUUUGUGGAAACUUUUCUUUAAGUCACUUACUGGCAGCAUUCUUGGUCAGCACAGUCACAGCAUACUUGUCUGGGUUACUUGGUUAAACAGUGCUGUUGGCCAGUUUCUAUCCAUACUAGGUUCUUAACAGUUGGAGAACAUUACUGUUAUCAAUUUAAAAAAAUGUGCUUGUUUUUAAAUGCUGUUUGUUUG